ensembl:miRNA microRNA 203b
AGUGGUCCUAAACAUUUCACAAUUUUGUUAAAGAACUGUUGAACUGUUGAGAACCACUUA